GACUCACGUGGGGAGCUCUAGACUCAUCUGGCCCCGUGGAAACCAGCAUCAGUGUUGUUUACAAGCUCCCCAGGUGAUGCUAAUGUGCAGCCUGGAGUGAGAGCCAUGGACCGAGACCUCUUCCCACUUCCUCCAUGGAAUUUUUCUUGCAGUCUGUUCUUGCAACCCACAGGCCCCCUUCCCUCACAACCCCAAAGGAAAGAUGAGUUUCCAUUAAGACAAGACCUUAGCUUUAACUUGAUGUCUUAAGCAGAUGGUGGCAGACCUAAUUCACAGUGUCAGCGGGGUCCUGAAUUUCUAUUCCAGCCCUUACGGCCAACUGGCAGCCUGGACCUGAGUGAGUGACAGAUGUCUCCUGAGCAGGACAGACAGGCAAAGCCUGCCGGAGGGGAUGCUGGAGAAAAUGGUCAUGUGGAACCUUCCAGCUGGUCCGACUGGUCAUUGUGUCUGCUCCAAGAAAGUGUGAAAGCGUCACUUCCUGCUAUUUACUGAGUGCCCGCCGUGUGCCAGGCACGGUUCCAGGCCCUGGUGAUGCAGGAUGCUCCAGUAGACAAAGCAAAGGCCUGCCUUCCUUAAGUUUGCAUCCUGUGUGGGAACACAGCACAUAAAUACGAUACAGUUCUUCAGGUGGUGAUAGGAAGAGAAUAAAGCGGGUGGGGGAUGGGACCGCAUCUUCCCUUCCUCCCGCCCCUCCCACGGCGGGCAGUCCGCCUCAAGGAACACUUCUCCACGGCGAGGGGCUGAUUGCUCUCGGUGAUUUGGGGAUGAAGAAGGGGGAAAAUGAGGCCCUGCUCUUCCUCCUUUCCCUUCUGCUGGGCAGAGCCUGCUCACAGCAAGUACCAGCCCGCUCUACGCCUCCAGCCUUAUCUCUGUGGUGCUCCCACUGCCUGGUCCAGCAGAGCAGGGCUGGGUGGGUCCGUCUGCCUGGUCUGUAGGUUGGUACCCAGAAGCUCACUUGCCCAUGGAUAUAAGUCUCAUUUUCUAAUGUCAGUUCUUUUGGAAAUAAAGGUGACAUUUUG
rnacentral:lncRNA from 1 species